CACGCGGUAGCUUAAAGAGAGCAAAGCCUUCCGAUUGUACGGGAGAGACGGAGGUUCGAUCCCUCCCCGCGUGA
rnacentral:tRNA from 1 species